AGCAUCUGAGAUGGCAACGGU
rnacentral:misc_RNA from 1 species